rnacentral:rRNA from 1 species
ACGGGAGGCAGCAGUGAGGAAUAUUGGUCAAUGGGCGAGAGCCUGAACCAGCCAUGCCGCGUGCAGGAAGACGGUCCUAUGGAUUGUAAACUGCUUUUAUUUGGGAAUAAACUCCGAUACGUGUAUCGGCCUGAAGGUACCAAAUGAAUAAGCACCGGCUAACUCC